CAAGCGGGACCGGCAGCCAAUCGCCGGAAGGCUGGAGCUGGGCUAGGUAGACCCGGCCGUAGGCGGCCCGCGGUCUCCGGCCGCCCCGGCUCUCUGGCGCUCGCUGUGGCGGAGGGACGAGCCGGCCCUCUGCAGAGCAUCCCUCCGAGAGACUCUGUAACCGGGGUGUGGGGCUCUUCAGGCGCAUCAGCAGGCCUUGGCCCACGUGGAUUUGGUGGUCUCAGGGAAACGUGUGUUCUUCGGGGACUCUCCUGCGGGGAGGGAGGGUCUUUGCAGCUACUGCAGAACUGGGCCGAGACUCUGCGAUUCCCUUUUCUAAAACCAAAAAACAAAAAAACCCAAACCCGUUGAUGUGCAGAUGAUUACUGACUGAUACCGACCCUAUAGGACAGAGAACUGCCCCCAGAAGGUUUUCGAGGGGCGGCCGCUGUUCACCCACCUUUUGGUUAGCAGCCGAGCUCUUAACCUUCGCGCCACCAGGGAUCCUUCCUAAAACCACAGAAUCAGACACAGCGUGUUCAGGGCCUGCCUUCUGCUAAACCGUAGGCGUAAAGAAAAGCAGAAAUAACAUCCUGUUUAUCAAGCUCACACCCAUGGCCCCUUCCAAACCUGGGACGACCAGCCCCCUUUCCUCAAGCUCAGGGCUCUUUCAUAGGUACACCGGGCUCAGCCUGGGGCGGUGAGCCUUCCCUGGGUGACAGACUCAAAACCUGGCAAACGAGUCGGUGGAAUAACAUUGAAAUAUAUAUUCUAAGUGCUUACUAUCUGCUAACUAAUUUAAUGGAUAGAAUGUCUUUUACUAUACCCACAUUAUAGGUGGGGAAACAGAUGUGUUGAGCAACUCGUUCGAAGGCACAAAGAAGCUAGCAAGUGAAGGACCUGGAAUUUGAAUCCAAGCAGCCUGAAGGCUUACUCUCUGUUACAUUGCUUCUACCCAGGAAACCCCUGGGUGGUGCAAAGGAUUGCUGCUCUCCACUGCUAACCACAGGGGUAGAGAUUCAAGUCAAUGCAGAGGUGCCUCGGAAAAAGGCCUAAUGAUCUACUUCUGAAAAAUCAACCACUGGAAGCCUUAUGGAGCACAGUUCUACUCUGACACACAGGAAGUCUCUGGCCGGUAGCAGCCUUGGCAUUGACAACCACUGACCUGAAACCAGAAAAAGAAAACAGAAGGAUCUCCCAGCAAGUAUUUCCUAUUUCAAUCACCUCAUAUGCAUGUGAAAGCUGGACUAUGAAUAAGGAAAACCGAAGAAAAUUGACGCCUUUGAAUUAUGGUGUUGGCGAAGAAUAUUGAAUAUACCAUGGACUGCCAGAAGAAUGAGCAAGUCUGUCCUGGAAGAAGUACAGCCAGAGUACUCCUUGAAAGCAAGGAUGGUGAGACCUCAUUUCAUAUAUUUUGGACAUGUUAUCAGGAGGGACCAGUCCCUGGAGAGGGACAUCAUGCUUGGUAAGGUAGUAGGUCAGCGAAAAAGAGGAAGACCCUGGAUGAGAUGGAUUGACAGAGUGGCUGCAACAAUGGGCUCAAACAUAGUAACAAUUGUGAGGAUGGUGCAGGACCAGGCAGUGUUUUGUUCUGUUGCACAUAGGGUUGGUGUGACUUGGAACUGACUCAAUGGCACCCAACAAUAACAACAUUUCCUAUAAAUUGGCUUCAUGAGAUUCAGGUGGAAUUUUCUGGGUAAGAAAACUUCAUACUUCCUAGUGAAUUACAUCAUAAGGCAUAUAAUGUCCAUUUGUCUGACACUUAGGGAUGCUCAGUUUCAUGAGUGUCUACAUGGUGUGUCCAUCUGAUUGUGAAGUUAGAAACCCUUCCACUGAAAGGCUUUAGCUUUUAUGUUCAUUGCCUACACCUGUUGAGUCGAUUCUGACUCAUAGUGACCCUAUAGGACAGAGGAGAACUGCCCCAUAAGGUUUCCAAGGCUGUAAUCUUUUACAGAGCUAAUGCCACAUCUUUCUCCUGCAGAGUGGUUGGUGGGCUUGAACAAACAACCUUUCGGUUAGCAGCCAAGUGCUUAACCACUGCACCAUUUUUUCAUUAGUACUUAUAAAACAGUGAUUAAAAAAGGUCUAUCAUUCCUUCUGCAUUUAUUAGUGGAACUUACAUAAUGAAGACCUUUCCCUCAUAAACUUAGUUACCCUGAAAGAACAUUCAUCCAGGAAAAGCAGGAUAGAGCCUUAUUUCUUUCCCUUUAUUUAUUAAAUUUCUGAGUAAUCCAAUCUCUAUUAAUAACAGAGCAGGUUUUGUAUUAUCAUAAAUUCAAGAAUUUUUAUAUGUUAGACAUCUCAUCAAAAGCCAUGUUUUUCUAAUUUUUUUUUUGUUUUUCAUUUAUUGUGCUUUAAGUGAAAGUUUACAAAUCAAGUCAGUCUCUCAUACAAAAACUUAUACACACCUUGUUAUGUACCCCUAGCUGCUCUCCCCCUAAUGAGACAGCACACUCCUCCUCUCCACCCUGUAUUACCCGUGACCAUUCAAUCAGCUCCUGUCCUCCUCUACCUUCUCAUCUUGCCUCUGGACAGGAGAAGAGCCAUGUUUUUAAAAUCGAUGCUGGAGACUGAAUCACGAUAUAUUACCAGCUACCUUCCUUCUGAAAUAGUGUUUCUCAGAGUAAGACCACAGACCAUAUAUAUGAGAAUCCCUUGGGGCAUUAGUUAAUAUGUAAAUUCAUGAACCCCGCUAGGAUUUAUUGGGUCAGAGUCUCUAGGAGCAGAGCGCUGGAAUCUGCGUUUCUAACAAACUCUUCUAAGGAUUUCUAGAACGGGGAAAUGGACAGCUUUGUGGAGGAGACCUCAUAGGAGCUUGGGAAUAAAGUACUAACAGGGUACAUACUGGAAGGUCCCUGGGUGGCGCAAAUGGCUUAUGCUUGAAAGGUUGGCAGUUCGAGCCUACCUAGUGGCCCCGCAGAAGAAAGGCCUGGAGAUCUGCUUCCAUAAAGAUUGCAGCUAAGAAAACACUAUGGAGCUUAGUUCUACUCUAUAACACAUGUGGUCACCCUGAGUUACAGUCAACUUGAUGGCAAUGAGUUUGGUUUUUUUGGGUACACACCUGAGCAGUUACUGCAAAAUAAGGUCACAGAUCAACCACGGAUGAUUCAGGAGAAGGCAGGAUAUGGACCCUUCUGGAAUGACCAGAUGAGAGUAGUGUUAUGCAGGGCUAGACUCCUUGCACAGCUAUAUCUUGGUUGAGACAAUCUGGGCUCUGACUGCCCAUUGUUAUUACAUCUCUGGGAAAAUUUUACCACACUAAAUCCUGUAGAAUAUGUUUCUAUAUGGCAUUUAGCUAAUUUCUCCUGUGGCUUCCCGUGGACGGAGGGUUAUUCACAUCCAUAGCCUCAGGUCCUGCACAGCUGCUCCCACUGGGCUCCAGAGACUCCCACCGCAUGAUUUGUGUCUUCUGUGAGGUAACAUUGUUCCUCACCCAUUAGGACCUGGACUACCAUUUGCAUCUGAAGUAUCAAUUAGCAUUGUUCUCGUAAUUCUAUUUUUGAGUUGCUCAUCUCCUCUAGGGAAUGCACUUUCAAUAUUUUAUUAAAGUCCCCUAAUGCUUGACAUUUUGAGCAAAACAUUCAUUUGGUUGGUUUUCCGUAAAGGUGACGAUCCAUUUUUGUAAUUUCAUUUGCCUUUAUUUAUUGAAUUUUAAAUAGCAUUGUUGAACGCACUGACUCAUAGGGAAGAAAAAUACAGAUGCUUAACAGAAGAACCAGACUUACAGAUCUCCUUGCAAAUAGAUAUUUUGCAGAUUAGAGAAAGCUAAACUACAUCUCUCUGCAUUUUUCUGCUCAAAUACUUGGGAGGAAGGGACGGGAAUCAGGUUUGUGGGGGCAUAAUGGGGAUUCCCAGAUUUCCUGUGUGAAUGCAGCUCCCCUGUAUGCCAGCGAAACACUGUCCUGCCAAUAUCCAGCCUGUAGAAAGGGCAUAGAAAAGGACAGGAUUGGACAAUCCAGCAAGGCCCUGCAGGGAACCGAAAUUACAUGCAGCCUGUUUUGAGAUUCUUCAAGCAGCUGCCAGUGCCCUGGCAUUGUUGCCCCCAGGCUGAAACUUGACCUUGAGACUAUUUGAUUGUAAACUCAAAUGCCUAUGGGGGCUAGGAAGGUAGCUAUAAAGGAAUGAAGAGGGUUGGAUGGGAGACAGCAGUGAAUUAGGGAGACAUAUCCCCACUGAAGGAAUCCUUGGGUGGUGCAAAUAGGUAAGUGCUUGACUACUAACCUAAAGGUUGCCAGUUCAAACCCACCCAGGGGUGCCUUAGAAGAAAGACCUGGUGAUCUGCGUCUUAGAGGCCACAGCCUUGAAAACCUUACGGAGUGAAGUUCUACUCUGCAGCACAUAGGGUCGCCAUGAGUCGGAAUUGACUUGGUAGCAACUUUUUUUUUUGUUUAAUUUCAUCGAAGGUGGCCACCACUACUCACUUCCUGGAUGCUACCGAGAAUGUGGGCCCUGAAUGGCUGGAGCUUUUGAUGUUUCAAGAGAUGCUAAUAAUCUGGAUUUUUAUGUGAAAUCUCAAGAUUUCAAACACUGGCUUUAAUUCAAAUGGUUUUUAAGCACGAUUUGGGGCUUGUGAUUUAGGGGAUCCAGUAUUUUAAAAUAAUACCACAAACGAAAUAUACGAGAACUCGUAUUUCCCAGAUCAAGAUGAGUCUAUAGCUGCUGUGCUGAUGCUGUUAGCAGAGACUCAAACCAUAAACCUUACAGGGACAAAUUAGCUUUAUUGUGGUCAGUAGCCAGAGGCUAGACUUUUGCCGUUGUGUGCUAUUUGUCACCUAGGAGCUCUGGAGAAAUGCAUAUGGAUUGGUACAGAGCCAUAACUCCAAGUCCAUUCCCUAUUGAUCGUGGGCCAGAUAUGACAUCUUCCUACAAGAAAGGUAUCGUAUUACUGAGCUAGCCCCGCUCCUAAGUCCUCAGAGAAAAAUAGAGCUGAGUACAUGUAUUGCUUUAUAAAACUCUAAGCCUUGACUUGCUGCCAAAGAAGGUAGUGAGAAUCUAUACAGACAGCUUUUGUCUUUGUGAAGAGUGGU